GAAUGGCCUUCCAGUCGAAUAACUUCAAGCAAUUCUUCAUGUUCAAUUGUAUGGCCAAGUGGCAUAAUGAUUUGGCUUCCAGUGAACCUUGCGGGCCUCAUUCCUGGAAAUGCAUAUGAACCGGCCUUCAAUGAUGCAGCAGAAUAUGCAUCAACAUUAAAAUCAGCCCAUUCAGAUCGGUGUUCUCUUAGGAAGCGAACCAGGACUGCAGGAGGGACAUUUUGCA
rnacentral:misc_RNA from 1 species